UAACGCGUGGGGAACCUGCCCUAUACAGGGGGAUAACAGCUGGAAACGGCUGCUAAUACCGCAUAAGCGCACAGAAUCGCAUGAUUCAGUGUGAAAAGCCCUGGCAGUAUAGGAUGGUCCCGCGUCUGAUUAGCUGGUUGGUGAGGUAACGGCUCACCAAGGCGACGAUCAGUAGCCGGCUUGAGAGGGUGACCGGCCACAUUGGGACUGAGACACGGUCCAA
rnacentral:rRNA from 1 species